rnacentral:rRNA from 1 species
AUAAGGUUAAGUUAAUAAGGGCGCACGGUGGAUGCCUUGGCACUAGAAGCCGAAGAAGGACGUGACUAACGACGAAAUGCUUUGGGGAGCUGUAAGUAAGCGC